rnacentral:rRNA from 1 species
GUUAAGCGACUAAGCGUACACGGUGGAUGCCCUGGCAGUCAGAGGCGAUGAAGGACGUGCUAAUCUGCGAUAAGCGUCGGUAAGGUGAUAUGAACCGUUAUAACCGGCGAUUUCCGAAUGGGGAAACCCAGUGUGUUUCGACACACUAUCAUUAACUGAAUCCAUAGGUUAAUGAGGCGAACCGGGGGAACUGAAACAUCUAAGUACCCCGAGGAAAAGAAAUCAACCGAGAUUCCCCCAGUAGCGGCGAGCGAACGGGGAGCAGCCCAGAGCCUGAAUCAGUGUGUGUGUUAGUGGAAGCGUCUGGAAAGGCGCGCGAUACAGGGUGACAGCCCCGUACACAAAAAUGCACAUGCUGUGAGCUCGAUGAGUAGGGCGGGACACGUGGUAUCCUGUCUGAAUAUGGGGGGACCAUCCUCCAAGGCUAAAUACUCCUGACUGACCGAUAGUGAACCAGUACCGUGAGGGAAAGGCGAAAAGAACCCCGGCGAGGGGAGUGAAAAAGAACCUGAAACCGUGUACGUACAAGCAGUGGGAGCACGCUUAGGCGUGUGACUGCGUACCUUUUGUAUAAUGGGUCAGCGACUUAUAUUCUGUAGCAAGGUUAACCGAAUAGGGGAGCCGAAGGGAAACCGAGUCUUAACUGGGCGUUAAGUUGCAGGGUAUAGACCCGAAACCCGGUGAUCUAGCCAUGGGCAGGUUGAAGGUUGGGUAACACUAACUGGAGGACCGAACCGACUAAUGUUGAAAAAUUAGCGGAUGACUUGUGGCUGGGGGUGAAAGGCCAAUCAAACCGGGAGAUAGCUGGUUCUCCCCGAAAGCUAUUUAGGUAGCGCCUCGUGAAUUCAUCUCCGGGGGUAGAGCACUGUUUCGGCAAGGGGGUCAUCCCGACUUACCAACCCGAUGCAAACUGCGAAUACCGGAGAAUGUUAUCACGGGAGACACACGGCGGGUGCUAACGUCCGUCGUGAAGAGGGAAACAACCCAGACCGCCAGCUAAGGUCCCAAAGUCAUGGUUAAGUGGGAAACGAUGUGGGAAGGCCCAGACAGCCAGGAUGUUGGCUUAGAAGCAGCCAUCAUUUAAAGAAAGCGUAAUAGCUCACUGGUCGAGUCGGCCUGCGCGGAAGAUGUAACGGGGCUAAACCAUGCACCGAAGCUGCGGCAGCGACACUAUGUGUUG